UACGUAGGGUGCAAGCGUUGUCCGGAAUUAUUGGGCGUAAAGAGCUCGUAGGCGGUCUGUUGCGUCGGCUGUGAAAACCCGAGGCUCAACCUCGGGCCUGCAGCCGAUACGGGCAGACUAGAGUUCGGCAGGGGAGAAUGGAAUUCCCGGUGUAGCGAUGAAAUGCGCAGAUAUCGGGAGGAACACCGGUGGCGAAGGCGGUUCUCUGGGCCUUACCUGACGCUGAGGAGCGAAAGCGUGGGGAGCGAACGGG
rnacentral:rRNA from 1 species